AUACGGAAGGUCCGGGCGUUAUCCGGAUUUAUUGGGUUUAAAGGGAGCGCAGGCGGAGAUGCAAGCGUGACGUCAAAUUUCGGGGCUCAACCCCGUCUCGCGUCGCGAACUGCGUCCCUUGGUUGCGGGAAGGGGAGGCGGAACUCGUGGUGUAGCGGUGAAAUGCAUAGAUAUCGCGAAGAACUCCGAUCGCGAAGGCAGCCUUCCGGCCCGUCAACGACGCUCAUGCUCGAAGGUGCGGGUAUCAAACAGGAUUAGAUACCCUGGUAGUCCGCACAGUAAACGAUGGACACCCGCGGUUUGGCCUGUAUGGCUGAGCCGCCAAGCGAAAGCGUUAAGUGUCCCACCUGGGGAGUACGCCGGCAACGGUGAAACUCAAAUGAAUUGACGGGG
rnacentral:rRNA from 1 species